UGAUGUUGACAGCCAGUCUGGGGUCAGUGUGUCAUGGGCAGCAUAUAGUUAAUUUCUCCACCGGUUGGAGAUUUCAACAACUGCCAAACAGCUCAAAGACAGUGCUGUGUGUAUCCCUUGACGGGGAACCAGGACCCUGCCCCAAGACCACUACAGUUUCUUAACUGCUCCUCCCGUGUCUCCACAUCCCCUCCCUUCCCUGAAUAACAUCUGUUUGAGCCUGCCUCUUGAACUCAGAGAGGUCACGGAGGCUGAAUGAAGCCCGUUUCCUGCAAACAAGAAACGGGGAGACACAAAAAGGCUUUUGUACACAGGAGCAUCACAAGACCCUGCUCAGUAUCACUUUGACCCUGUAAGUCUUUUUGUUCUCAGAGCCUGAGAUUCCAACCCCUACAUCAGAGCUGACAGAGACUGUGGUCUGUGCCCUGGGGCUGGCCAUGGGCCUCAUGGGCAUCGUGGUGGGCACUGUCCUCAUCCUCCGAGUCCGGUGCUUGGGUGCUGCCUCCAGACGUCGAAGGGCCAUGUGAGUCAUGGCCUGAAAGAUGGGAAGGAGAGGAAAGUCUUCAUUUCUGUUUUCGCUGCAGCAUCAAGAGCCCAGGACCAUCAGCCUCAUGCUGUUUGGUGUUUCAGGUGAUCAGUCUUUACAAGAAAAAAAAGGCCUGGUUCAGACUCCAGUUCCCUGUCUUGACCUUGACUGAGACGUGCUCCUUGUUCCACUUCAUCACAGAGCUCCUUCCACGCCCUCCUGCCCUCCCUGCCAGGGUGGACUUUAUGGAGGAAUUUUCCUUCGAAGAUCACUGACCCUUAUGAAUUCUCCCAACUUAGUCUUUGAUUCAUUGACUACCUGUCACAGAGAGACCUGGAUUGUUCCACCCAGCCACCUAGUUCUUGGUCACCCUAAUCCAACAUCUGUUCCAAACAAAUAAGUAAAUCUUGCACCAAGAGAUUGUCUUGCUAAGUGAAGUAAGUCAGAAAGAGAAAGACAAAUGCCAUAUGAUAUCACUUACGUGUGGAAUCUAAAAUAUGACAGAAGUGAACCUACCUAUGAAACAGAAG
rnacentral:lncRNA from 1 species